UGAACCUGCGGAAGGAUCAAUACCGAAUUGUUGACACGAGUUGUUGCUGGCCUUUAAACGGGGGCAUGUGCACGCUCUGUUUAUACAUCCACCCACCCCUGUGCACCUUUUGUAGUUCUGUGGUCUGGAGGCUCCGCUUCCCUUCUGCGGUCCUACGUCUUUACACACACACGUUAAAGAAGUCUGUGGAAUGUACGCCGCGUUUAACGCAAUACAAUACAACUUUCAGCAACGGAUCUCUUGGCUCUCGCAUCGAUGAAGAACGCAGCGAAAUGCGAUAAGUAAUGUGAAUUGCAGAAUUCAGUGAAUCAUCGAAUCUUUGAACGCACCUUGCGCCCUUUGGCUAUUCCGAAGGGCAUGCCUGUUUGAGUAUCAUGAACACCUCAACCCUCACGGUUCCUCGUGAUGGGCUUGGACUUGGGGGCUUUGUUGGCCUGUGGUCAGCUCUCCUCAAAUAAAUCAGCUCGCCAGUGUCUGGCGGCAUCAUGGGUGUGAUAACCAUCUACGCUUGUGAUCGCCUGCGAGGUAAACC
rnacentral:rRNA from 1 species